CUUAGCUCAACCCCUGAUGAGCGCGAGGUGUGUUAACUGAAGUGAACUCUGAUCUGAAAAUGGCUGUCCACCGACGGUUCUCAUCCAAACUGACAGAUCCUAAGAGGAUCUUAAGAGAGGAAAAUCCUCAGAUCCACGUGGGCCAAAGCUUGUUGGGUCAUACCCCUGAAGACUCGAGGCUGUGACGGCUGCCAAAAGAGAUUGCACCAAGGAUCCAGCUGAUUACUGGCAAUUAGGAGGAAGAUUAUUAUUUAUCUGCUACGUUGCACUGUCACUUCUGGUAGAGAUUCAUUGACCUGUUGUGAUUCAUCAUUUGACCAUUUUUUUAUGGGAUUUUUUUUUACAGUGGUCCUGACCCUGAUUAAGAACGACCUGUACAGAGCCAACAAAGACAAAGACAAUUGCUUCUCACCCAAACUUCAAGGUGUAACUUAAAGGAAUUGACUCCACCACGACUGGAGCCUGCGGCUUAAUUUGUAUCAACGCGGGAAACUACAGCCAUGGACACGGAGGAUGAACGUACUAAAGCUGGAAUGAUUUGUCUAGUUAAUUCAGAUAACGAACAAACUAAUAAUUACGCGGCCGCCAUCGUAAUUCUUACAGGGACAAAUGAAAUUCAGUUACACGAUAUUGAACAAUAACAGGUCUGUGACGUUAUUAAAAUAAAAAAACAUGGCUUCA